rnacentral:rRNA from 1 species
AGAGCGAACGCUGGCGGCAGGCCUAAAACAUGCAAGUCGAACGGACCCUUCGGGGUUAGUGGCGGACGGGUGAGUAACACGUGGGAACGUGCCUUUUGGUUCAGAACAACUCAGGGAAACUUGAGCUAAUACUGAAUAAGCCCUACGGGGGAAAGAUUUAUCGCCAUUAGAGCGGCCCGCGUUGGAUUAGCUAGUUGGUGAGGUAAAGGCUCACCAAGGCUACGAUCCAUAGCUGGUCUGAGAGGAUGAUCAGCCACACUGGGACUGAGACACGGCCCAGACUCCUACGGGAGGCAGCAGUUAGGAAUCUUGCGCAAUGGGCAAAGCCUGACGCAGCCAUGCCGCGUGAAUGAUGAAGGUCUUAGGAUUGUAAAAUUCUUCAGUGGGAAGAUAAUGACUGUACCCACAGAAGAAGCUCCGGCUAACUUCGUGCCAGCAGCCGC